UAGGGAAUCUUCGGCAAUGGACGGAAGUCUGACCGAGCAACGCCGCGUGAGUGAAGAAGGUUUUCGGAUUGUAAAGCUCUGUUGUUAGAGAAGAACGUUGGUAGGAGUGGAAAAUCUACCAAGUGACGGUAACUAACCAGAAAGGGACGGCUAACUACGUGCCAGCAGCCGCGGUAAUACGUAGGUCCCGAGCGUUGUCCGGAUUUAUUGGGCGUAAAGCGAGCGCAGGCGGUUCUUUAAGUCUGAAGUUAAAGGCAGUGGCUUAACCAUUGUACGCUUUGGAAACUGGAGGACUUGAGUGCAGAAGGGGAGGGGGGAAUUCCAUGUGUAGCGGUGAAAUGCGUAGAUAUAUGGAGGAACACCGGUGGCGAAAGCGGCUCUCUGGUCUGUAACUGACGCUGAGGCUCGAAAGCGUGGGGAGCAAACAGG
rnacentral:rRNA from 1 species